CUUUAGGGCACAUUUAUUGGAACCAGCAGAACAACACAGCUUUUUUUUUUUGUUUGUUGUGUUGUUCUGCUGGUUCCAAUAAAUGUGCCCUAAAG